CGGCGUGCCUAACACAUGCAAGUCGAGCGAUCUUCUUUCGGAAGAGAGCGGCCGACGGGUGAGUAACGCGUGGGUAACCUGCCCUGUACACACGGAUAACAUACCGAAAGGUAUGCUAAUACGGGAUAAUAUAUGAGAGUUGCAUAACUUUCAUAUCAAAGCUUUUGCGGUACAGGAUGGACCCGCGUCUGAUUAGCUAGUUGGUAAGGUAACGGCUUACCAAGGCUACGAUCAGUAGCCGACCUGAGAGGGUGAUCGGCCACACUGGAACUGAGACACGGUCCAGACUCCUACGGGAGGCAGCAGUGGGGAAUAUUGCACAAUGGGCGAAAGCCUGAUGCAGCAACGCCGCGUGAGCGAUGAAGGCCUUCGGGUCGUAAAGCUCUGUCCUCAAGGAAGAUAAUGACGGUACUUGAGGAGGAAGCCCCGGCUAACUACGUGCCAGCAGCCGCGGUAAUACGUAGGGGGCUAGCGUUAUCCGGAAUUACUGGGCGUAAAGGGUGCGUAGGUGGUUUUUUAAGUCAGAAGUGAAAGGCUACGGCUCAACCGUAGUAAGCUUUUGAAACUAAAGAACUUGAGUGCAGGAGAGGAGAGUAGAAUUCCUAGUGUAGCGGUGAAAUGCGUAGAUAUUAGGAGGAAUACCAGUAGCGAAGGCGGCUCUCUGGACUGUAACUGACACUGAGGCACGAAAGCGUGGGGAGCAAACAGGAUUAGAUACCCUGGUAGUCCACACCGUAAACGUUGGGCACUAGGUGU
rnacentral:rRNA from 1 species